AAGGGGAUUGGAUUCAAUUCCGGCCGGAUGUUCAGGCCGCCUGGCCCCGCCAGAUGGCGCUGGUCGCCCACGGCGAUUCAUUUCGCUUGUGGUGUCGUUCCCGGCGAUCACUCGGUGGGGUGGUGUUGCUCUGGCAACCGGAGGGGUGCACUUCCUCCCUUGUAGAAACGUCGCGACCCGUUGGGUGCCGGUCAAAAGGCCCGGGCUGGUGACCUCGUGUCCUGCGAGUAGUUCGCGGGUGCGGGGACUCCCGGUGACCCGGCCGGCUGCUCGACGGUAUGACCAGAGGAGUCGAUCCGCUGAAUGGGAAACACUAUGGUUGUGUAGCGUCCGGCCCGGCGCCGACGCGUGCGGGGUAGUGGUGUAACCGGGGGUGCCCGUGCAGAAGCACGGCCCCGGCCCCGCGGCGUUGUCGGAAUCCGUCGGUGUCCUCGGACUGGAUCGUUACUCCCGUCGGCGACGCCCACCUUCGGAUGGUCUCCCG
rnacentral:rRNA from 1 species